CUGUAACAUACACACACCAGAAAAAGGUUCGUUUUGGUCUUAGAGCAGACACUGCCAUGGAUAUUUAUAACGACGAGUACUUCAGCUGGAUUAGAGCAGACACUGCCAUGGAUAUAUUAUCACAGGGUCAUUGGAGUUUCAACUUUUUAUCUCUUCGUUGAAGGCACUGCUGCUUCCCCAAAUGCAUCUCGAGUUUUGGAGACCAUCCCUGGUGUAAAUUUUAUAUACAGGACAAGAGAACUAGAAGAAGAGCAAGCUAAGAGCCGGAUAUGGAAUGAGACUUGGUUGGCGAAGUUUUUCUACAAACCGUGUAAUUACGAAUUGUUCGUGAAACAAAACUUGAAUAUGGAAAUGGG